UUGAUGUGAGGCAUUACAGGAAUUAGGUUAAUUCAUAGACUCAGGGUUUAUUCAUAACCAUCUCUUAUUUGCCUAAAUCAUCCAAGUUUGAAUAGGUGUAAGAGUGUGUGUGUGUGUGUGUGUGUGUGUGUGUGUGUGUGUGUACUACAGCACUUGCACAUACCUAGUAAAAAUAGCAAGACAUGAUGCACACAGCCCAGACCUCAAA